CAGCCGCGGUAAUACAGAGGGUGCGAGCGUUAAUCGGAUUUACUGGGCGUAAAGCGUGCGUAGGCGGCUUUUAAGUCGGAUGUGAAAUCCCUGAGCUUAACUUAGGAAUUGCAUUCGAUACUGGGAAGCUAGAGUAUGGGAGAGGAUGGUAGAAUUCCAGGUGUAGCGGUGAAAUGCGUAGAGAUCUGGAGGAAUACCGAUGGCGAAGGCAGCCAUCUGGCCUAAUACUGACGCUGAGGUACGAAAGCAUGGGGAGCAAACAGGAUUAGAGACCCCCGUAGUCCCUGUCUCUUAUACACAC
rnacentral:rRNA from 1 species